GAGUUUGAUCAUGGCUCAGAUUGAACGCUGGCGGCAGGCCUAACACAUGCAAGUCGGGCGGUAGAGAGAAGCUUGCUUCUCUUGAGAGCGGCGGACGGGUGAGUAAUGCCUAGGAAUCUGCCUGGUAGUGGGGGAUAACGCUCGGAAACGGACGCUAAUACCGCAUACGUCCUACGGGAGAAAGCAGGGGACCUUCGGGCCUUGCGCUAUCAGAUGAGCCUAGGUCGGAUUAGCUAGUUGGUGAGGUAAUGGCUCACCAAGGCGACGAUCCGUAACUGGUCUGAGAGGAUGAUCAGUCACACUGGAACUGAGACACGGUCCAGACUCCUACGGGAGGCAGCAGUGGGGAAUAUUGGACAAUGGGCGAAAGCCUGAUCCAGCCAUGCCGCGUGUGUGAAGAAGGU
rnacentral:rRNA from 1 species